UGAUAACAUAAUGCUAUAUGGGAAUGACUGGAAAGGUGUCUUUUUGAAGAUUGUGCUUUGAGGCAUCCAUGAAGUGCCUUACAAAAGGCAAUGGAACAGGAAGACUGGAAUAUAUGAGCUUCCAGUUCCUCUUCAUUAUGGUUAUGAACAGCUGAACUUAGGCUCUGAAGUGCUAUUUUCCCAGUCUCCUCAGAAACAUGAA